rnacentral:rRNA from 1 species
CAGCACCUCAAGUGGUCAGGAGGAUUAUUGGGCCUAAAGCAUCCGUAGCCUGUUCUAUAAGUUUGCGGUUAAAUCUAUACGCUCAACGUAUAGGCUGCCGUAAAUACUGUAGAACUAGGGAGUGGGAGAGGUAGACGGUACUCGAUAGGAAGGGGUAAAAUCCUUUGAUCUAUUGAUGACCACCUGUGGCGAAGGCGGUCUACCAGAACACGUUCGACGGUGAGGGAUGAAAGCUGGGGGAGCAAACCGGAUUAGAUACCCGGGUAGUCCCA